CCCACGGUCUUCCUCCGCAGCCGGUUCACGAUGCGCACAGUGCAAUAGACGAGGAUGAUGAAGGGGAUGAUGAUCUGAGUGAAGUAGACGAUCUGAAAAGAGAAGUGACUUUGAGUAUGACACCCAACACAGAAAAAGAACACUAAUGGACCUACAGACAGGCCUCGGGGUCACAUUACAUGUCAAUGAGCUUAUAUCUGAAACAACAUAUAUGUCCAUCCUGUGGACAUGCCUUCUGGAGCCAUUUGGAGUCAGGAUUUUGAGCUCCCAGUUUUCCCAGAGUCCACUCCUCCGUCAGAAGGAGGCCUGAGGAUCGUCGUCCUGUCUCCACAUGUCGCUGCCACGAGACAGAGGGGAUCAGACAGAGGACAUGAAGAGGGUCUGCAAAGGAGAUACCAUCCUCUCUGACAGAGACAUGAGAAAUCAAGACAAAAGUCUGCAAAAACUGGAAACCAGUAAAGUCCAGGCAGCAGGAGAUGCUGAUUGGUCUGAAGUUGAACGUCAGCUGAAGGCUCUGAUGAGAGGCGACUGAGGAAGAAACUCAGUCACACCACAGCGCCAUCUAGAGGACAGAAGAUGUUCUGCACACAGCCUGGAGGGACAGUCGGAGGUAAAACACACUGUAUGAUCUUAUCUUUAGUCACAAAUCAUGUAGCAGACAGUUUAAUAUCUUAGGCACGUUGUACAAUAAAGAAGACAGCCUAUACAAAUCUUAGAGUAAUGUAUAAUAGGAAUGUGUGUAUAAUAAUCAACUUGUCAAGGCUAAUGCUAAAUAUGUUGUAUUAUAGUCAAAGGAAUUCAUAUGGGAAAACUAGUGAAAAUAAAGACAUGUUUUUUUCAGA